ensembl:lncRNA
UUGUAUUGUAUUUUAUUUUGUAUUGUGUUGUUUUAUAAAGGAAUAUGCUGGCAAGUAAUGUAUACCCUAAUGUAAUUACAAGUAAUUAGAGAGUAUAAAAUUGGGAAUAAAUGACUACCAUUAUAAUCAUAAUGGAUUAUGAAUAAUAUAUCAAUCGGAGUGCAUCAUAUUUACAAAAUAACAACCGUUAUCAAACCAUGAAUUCAUAAUACAAAUUCCUUUAAACAAUGUCAAUUGCAACACUCUCAGAGCCUAAUAUCAGGAGAAAGUUCAAAAUGUCUGUGGAUGGCCCUUGUAUUGGCAGUAAGGUAAUGGUGCCUCCCUCUUUGGGAGGCAGCAUUACCACUCAUCAGUCAAAUGCAUUGUAAAUUACAGGGCCCGGGUAAUAAAACCAGAUUUGUACAUCACCAGGACUGGAGACUGUCUGUCUUGUAAAUUUAAUUAAACAGCAGGUGCAAAAUCAGGUCAUGUGGCUUUGAUGUGUCCCAUGUGAGAAUGACAAGCAGACAAAGAUUCUAAUAUGGGAAGCAUUUACAUAUUUUUGCAUGUGCACGCGUGUACAAGGGGAGCUGCCGUCACCGUGUAGAGUAUUCCAAUUCGCCCAAAUUAAGAGAGAUUCAAAUUAGCUGUCACCUUCAAUUUCAAUAGCUCGUCGCCAAAAUAAACGGUUAAGCUCUUCAAAAGCAAUCCCUGCUCGUCAAAUGCAGAGUAAACACACAUAUUACCAACAGCUUGUCGAGACGGGAAGAUUUGCACUAAUCAGGUCUUAUAGCAAAUAAAAUAAAAUGUUAUUGGUCGCAUACACAUAUUUAGCAGGUGUAGCAAAAUGCUUGUGGAGCCAUGAACAGGACGACCAUGUCAAUCAGCGCCAUCUUGUCAAGUCUGUGCACGACAACACAGAAAACCUACCUAAAGAAAACACUCAUCAACCAGUGCCUACAAUACAGUAGAAUCACAUUUGAUUUUCCAACCUACUAGUCAGCUCUUAAUAGACUUGAUCCAGAGUGAUGCACAUCCUCUUAUGGAUGAGUGUGACCUGUGACACCGUUCUCUCGCCAUCUCCGUGGCAGAAGACAGACAUCGAUUGAAGUUGACUAGCGAAAUGUCAGCUGCCUGACCUGAUGGCAACACCUUUGCUUGUUUUUGGGAAGAAGUGGUUGAUAAUUACCACCUAGAAUGUAGCCAUCUGUCCCGCUCUUUCAUGACCUGUUAAACUCGCUUUUCAAAAAGUUUACUGGUGACAGAGGGCACGUGACGGAAAAGAGUGUGCACUCAAGCCAGAGCUAAGGAGCUCAUAGAACCAUUACUGUACUGUAGAUACACCAAACAGCUCUAAUAAACUUGAAGUUAUUAUGGGAAAACAAGGAAAGCAGAAGAGGGAAGAAAAGAUGUCAGAAAAGAUUAAAUAUGAAUUUGAAGUAAUAUGCUUACGGGAAUAAGAACCUAAUUCUGUUGAACAGAACAAAUAACUCAACCAAAGCCAACAACCUAGUGUCACCAUGAGUUAAUCAUCGGUUGCUUUCAAUUUCUCCCACACAUUGCCAAUAGUUUGACAUCUACUCUCAUUCCAGAGAAAGUCAGUGAUUUUGCAACUUACAUAAAACCGACUAUCAGCAUUGUCAAUUACAUAUGGGUUUUUCCCCUAGUCUUCAGAGACACCUGUGUUUUCACAGUAAGGAAUCUGCUAUCAACAACAUGCUUGCCCGAUGUCUAUUUAUCUGUCUGUCAGUUUGACAGAGUCUUUGGGAAAUCCUCACUUGUCAGAACUAUUUCUCUCAUGUUUCACUGAGUUUUUAAUGAGAAGCACCAGGCAAAAUCCACAAGCAACGUGAGAGCAGAAGGGGGGGGACAGGUGGAUAGCUGGGAGCUUCGGUAUAACUGAACACCAUGUGGUAUACAUCUCUUUUGAUUACUGCCACAUCCAAUCACACUAAUCAAACACGCAUCAAAGAGCAGAAGUUAUAGACCGAUGACUGAAUGACACAAUGUAAAGACUGGUGCAGUGUGAAAUCUGCCAACACUAUCAUUGGUGGUUUCAAAACAAUGCACAGUGUCCACCCACUCUGCCAAGACGCACUUUGGUGAUGAAAUUUCACUUCCUUAUGUUAUCAAAUACAUUUUACCAAGACAAAUAUGAUUAUUCAUGUCUGAAUCAUUGUGGGGUCUUUCUCUAACAUAUUAGUAUUAUAUCCAAAAAGUUGGAUUUCGUAAUCUAAUACAUACGAUAAUAAGCACCAAGAUCUGUUGACAUCGUGGUACAGGUUUCUCAUAACUUCUAAAGAUGUUACAUUUUGAGGUCAUCGUCUUCCAAGUAGUUAACAGGUCGCAAAAAGCAAAUGAGAAUGAAUUAAAUGUAAAAGACUGAUAAUAAAAAGCUUGGAAUGCUCAGCGUUCAUUUUAUAGAGAUUCAAUCAUUUCUUACAAACAAGCAUAAAAGAACAGGAAUUUCCAAUUCAUAUGAAAAGUGUGUACUAAAAUAUGAAAAUACGUCAUGUCUCAAAAUCGAUAUCCAUCUUAGCUCUAUAUUGUUUUAUGUCCUGCGGAUUGGAGAAGAAAGAUGACCAGUUCAACAGGGAAGUGAGCCUGUCAGGUAGCCAAUAGCCUUAAAUCUGCCACAGAAUCCAGCCUAGCUGACACAAUGCAAUUUUCCACUUUUUUUUACCACUUUUUUCCCCCUCCGGCCUCCAUUGAUUUAGUCACCCGAAUUCUGACCAUCCCACAAGGGUAAAGACUCCAAUAACUCGAACGGGUUAUGAUAGACACGAGGUUUGGACCAUUGGAAUACUUAGAGGAUUAUCUACAGAAUUAACAUACUAUUUAAAAAACACUGCUCGAAAGAUACAUUUUUGAUUGGAACUUGUGUGAAUUCUGAUUUUUUUCCAGUGCCUGAAUAUCACGACUCAGGAUAAGGCCCAUAUGCAGACAGUUCGAAGCACAGUUAUUUAUUGACAAAUCAGGGGACAGACAAAAGACAGGUCAAGAGCAGGCAGGAGGUCAGUAAUCCAGGGCAGAGUCAGUAAGGUACAGAACGGCAGGCAGGUUCGGGGUUAGGGCAGGCAGAGGUCAGUAAUCCAGGGCAGAGUCAGUAAGGUACAGAACGGCAGGCAGGUUCGGGGUUAGGGCAGGCAGAGGUCAGUAAUCCAGGGCAGAGUCAGUAAGGUACAGAACGGCAGGCAGGCUCGGGGUUAGGGCAGGCAGAGGUCAGUAAUCCAGGGCAGAGUCAGUAAGGUAAAGAACGGCAGGCAGGCUCGGGGUUAGGGCAGGCAGAGGUCAGUAAUCCAGGGCAGAGUCAGUAAGGUACAGAACGGCAGAAAAAAACCCGACGGUAAGCUUGACGAGACAAGACGAACUGGCAACAGACAAGCAGAAAACACAGGUAUGAAUGCACAGGGGAUAAUGGGGAAAAUGGGCGACACCUGGAGGGGGUGGAGACAAGCACAAGCCAAGUGAAACAGAUCAGGGUGUGACACUAAGGCUAUGCAGCAGUUUGAUAAUGUAGAAUGUGUUUUUUAAAUUUAUUUUACUCUUAAGAUCAAGCCCACAUAGAUCCAUAACCAGGUGUGGUGUUUAGUGGUGUUUCGGGAAGGUGGGAGCUAGAUACAGUAUAUCCAACAUGCUUUUUUGUGACUAUGAACAUUAAGGUGUAAUUGAGCUUUGCAAUGUAACUCGACCCCUUUAAAGAAAAAUACGCAAAUGCUGAGAACUAAAGCUAAACCAGUCAAAAUCCCUCAACUGUAGUUACAUCAUAUGCCUUAUCACACAUGCAGUAGUUACAACAUCUGCCUUAUCCCACAUGCCUUCUCUUGUCCUACAUUCUUGUCCUACAUAUAAUCAAUCUUCCCUUGAAACGAUCUAAGUCAUAAAAUAUGAGUGUUUGCUGAUUGACUCUCCGAUACACAUUUCAAACAUAUUUGUGCAUCUGCAUUCGCCUGCAUUCACUACCAACACAUUCCUCGAGCCUGCUCAGGUCUGAGGGUGUCAGAACAGAUACAGAGAAACAGCUAUUUUUUCACCUGCAGCACAGAACAACAUCUCCACGGAGGCCAGCAGCAGCAGAUAUGUCAUAGCGAGAGAGACAGAGCAGUUGAGAAGGUGAAUGACUGCAGGCGGUCCUCAGAGGGAGAGGUGGAGGGUGGAGCCCCAUGGGUUGGAACAACCCCAUGGAGAGUAGACAUAUCAGCACUAUUGAGUUGUUACACAACAUCUACUGUAGGUCAUGAAUGCACUACCUCUGGUAUUUUAACAUGAACUGGAAAGUUUAGAGGCUCGGUAUGAGGUUGAUAUGAGGUGAAUUUGGUGCAACACAAAAGCAAGAACUUUACAAUUUAGUCAUUUAGCAGAAACUCUUAUCCAGAGUGACUUACAGGAGCAAUUAGUCUUAAGUUCCUUGCUCAAGGGCACAUCGAGAGAGCCUUGUUGGCUCGGGGAUUCAAACCAGUAACCUUUCAAUUAAUGGCCCAAUACUCUAACCACUACCUUCCCCCCCAAUCAAUCCAAUCAGUACUUGGACUGGUAACU